CUGUGAGACAAGACGUCUCUGUGAUUUUAAGCCAUUGUCUGGGGUUCUUUGUUGUGGCAGCCCUAACAAGCUGGGGCGUGGGACCUGUGCCCAGGGCCCUGUGCGCCUAAGGGCUCAGAAGGGCCCGGCUUGGUCGAAUGCCCUGCGGUUGCCAUCCUGAAAUUCUCGAUGACUUUUGAACAAGGGGCCUACGUCUUCGUCUUGCCCUGGGCCCUGCUAAUGGAGUAGCCGGCAGCGCUUUCAGACCGCCCUGCCGAGACCCCGCCACAGGCCCAGAUUUCUCCCUGGUGGUCAGGACCCAGCCCAGCACUCAGCUGUGAACUUGGCCCCAGCAGGGUGGGGGCCUGGGGUAGGAGCCCACUGGGCCUCUGGAUGCCUCGUUUCCCCAAGGACCCGCUCAAGCUGGGCUUCCCCCAUAUGGCCCUGAAAUCAGGGCCCCUGGCUGCCCUUGCCAACCGCAAGUCCGCCCGACUCUGAGCCAAGAGAAGAUAAACGUUAGACUUUUGCAAAGUAGGUGGUUACCGGGAGCCAAGGGACCUGGCCGCCAGCCCGGCGCCCUGCCUAAAGCACCGCGACGUCUUCCACGUCGUGCUAACUCAGGUCACAUCAGCCAGCAUUUCUAGACUCCUCCCCAGGGCUCACCACCACGAUUCCGCACAGAAUGCUCAGUCAGUGCCUCCCGGGAGUUCGCCAUCACUCCGUUCCUCGUGGGCGCCCUUGAAGACUCCAGAAGGCAUCGCCUCCUCAGGGGCGCCUGCCCUGAUACGGCCAUCACCCACCCCACCUUGCCGGCUCCAUCCCUUUACUCAACCCGUUUUACCAAGAUUAUCUAUUUACCCAUCUUUCUUCCCGACAAGACGUUGCAUCCUUUCCAAGUAGAACCUUUUGGAUUUCACGUUUGGCCCCUGUGCCUCGUGUGGGACCUGGAGCAGAGGAGGACGUUUGCACUGAAUCUUUCUGGGAGAGAACAGUUCAAGGAGGCAAGAGAAGAAACUGGAAAACCAGUGAGGAGGAAAACCAUCCAAGAAAGCAUGGUCAGACGUUGAACAUACGGAUGGAUAAAGGAAUGAAUGGAUUGAUGAAGAAGAGAAAGAUCUUGGGGCCCGGUGGAGACACAAGCCUAAACCCAUUUUGGUGGUGGGGGGAGAGUUUGCAAGGGUGGAGAGCAGGCAGGUAAUUUUCACCCUCUUCCUUUCACCAGGAUCUCAGCAAAUCGGAAUGGAGGUAGCCCAGCUUGGGAGGAGCAGUCGGAGGCUGACAUUUUUAGGGUAAUCCCUGUGGUUCUUUGGGGCCAGUUCCUGGCUUGGACCCGGUGCCAGAAACCAGGGAAAGGAACAGAACCCGCCACCCUCACUCCCGGAAGAGCUCACGCCACCCAGGGAACAAGGCAGCCGUGGCAGCUCACUGGAGUAAGUUCCAGUUAGCACCAGGAAGUUAAAGGCACCCCCAGGGGGGUGGGCAGAGCCGUGCGGGCACGCCA
rnacentral:lncRNA from 1 species